AUUGAACGCUGGCGGCAGGCCUAACACAUGCAAGUCGAGCGGAUGAAGGGAGCUUGCUCCUGGAUUCAGCGGCGGACGGGUGAGUAAUGCCUAGGAAUCUGCCUGGUAGUGGGGGAUAACGUCCGGAAACGGGCGCUAAUACCGCAUACGUCCUGAGGGAGAAAGUGGGGGAUCUUCGGACCUCACGCUAUCAGAUGAGCCUAGGUCGGAUUAGCUAGUUGGUGGGGUAAAGGCCUACCAAGGCGACGAUCCGUAACUGGUCUGAGAGGAUGAUCAGUCACACUGGAACUGAGACACGGUCCAGACUCCUACGGGAGGCAGCAGUGGGGAAUAUUAGACAAUGGGCGAAAGCCUGAUCCAGCCAUGCCGCGUGUGUGAAGAAGGUCUUCGGAUUGUAAAGCACUUUAAGUUGGGAGGAAGGGCAGUAAGUUAAUACCUUGCUGUUUUGACGUUACCAACAGAAUAAGCACCGGCUAACUCCGUG
rnacentral:rRNA from 1 species